AUGUCACCGCGAUGUCACCCGCGAUGUCACCCGCGAUGUCACCCGCGAUGUCACCACGAUGUCACCCGCAAUGUCACCCGCAAUGUCACCGUGAUGUCACCGUGAUGUCACCGCGAUGUCAACCGCGAUGUCACCCGCGAUGUCACCCGCGAUGUCACCCGCGAUGUCACCGCGACGUCACCGCGACGUCACCCGCAAUGUCACCACGACGUCACCCGCAAUGUCACCCGCAAUGUCACCGCGACGUCACCACGACGUCACCCGCAAUGUCACCCGCAAUGUCACCCGCAAUGUCACCCGGACGAUGUCACCCAGAUGUCACCCCCAAAGAAGACACUGCCCGGUUGUCAGCCCAGCUGUCGCCUGUUGUUGUCACCCCAAACAUGUCACCCCAAAGACGUCACCCCAAAGAUGUCACCCCAAACAUGUCACCCCAAAGACGUCACCCCAAAGACGUCACCCCAAAGACGUCACCCCAAAGACGUCACCCGGCCAACGCUUACAACGUCACUGGGUUGUCAGCCACCUGUCGCCCCAAAGACGUCACCCACAAUGUCACCAGGUUGUCACCCCAAAGA
rnacentral:lncRNA from 1 species